GCGCCGCUAGCUCAGUUGGUUAGAGCAGCUGACUCUUAAUCAGCGGGUCCGGGGUU
rnacentral:tRNA from 1 species